CACGUUUCUCUUCCACUCUCUCCCCUCAUGUGCGAAUUUGCCCCCUUUCUGACCUAAUUGCGUGUUUCUUUUCCCUUCUUCCCCUUCCAUUACCUAAUCGCCUGCUUCUGUGCUCCUUGUGGCAGAACCGUAACUGUUGUGUGUUGAUGUCGCCAGCAUCGUGAAUUUUGCAGGCUCUCCCUCACUGUAGUUUGCGUUAGGUUUAGGAGCAGUUGGAGAAGAGAAGAGUGUUGCAGUUUCGAGGAAGGAGAAGGUUAACUAUCUUACCUAUUGUCAGGAGAAGAGAAGAAUCAGAAGCCAUCUUCGUCAGCUGAUAGUACAAGAGGGCCAGGAGCUCCAUCACUUUUUAAUUGUGUAAGUUUUUCCUUCUUUUCUGUAUGUUUUGUUCAUGCAUAAAGGUUAGGGACUUAUGGGGGAAAACCUUUUGUCAAGGUAGUUGAAAUUGGUAAAGGCAGCAAGGUUAAGUCUUAGCUGGACAAGGCAAGUGGACUUAUAAAGGUUGAUCGCAUCCUUUACUCAUCAGUUGUCUACCCACACAACUAUGGUUUUAUCCCAAGAACCAUUUGUGAAGACAAUGAUCCCAUGGAUGUUCUGGUUCUGAUGCAGAAGAUUGAGACAAGUAUUUGAAAAACAAUGAUCCUCUAAUUCAUGGGUGAGGUUGCUGAGGGUAAGGUGUAUAAGGGUUUAGGGCAGAGAUAUUAUCAGAAUAUUUUUUUGAAGAAACCAAGUGAUGAACUGAUUAUUUGAACAAAACAAUUAUGGGAAUUAACAGAACCAAUCAGAUCUUGAGGAUGAUGUUCCAUCAAAGGCAGCCAAGGUGGAUGUCCCAUCAGCCCAGCUUGUAGGUGGAAUGGUGCCGCCUUCUUUGGGUCCAGGAUGUCCUCCUCGAUCAACCUUGGGCCUAAUGCCACCAAUGUAUAAUCAUGCUGUACCUGUGCCUCCUAACGCAUGGGCUGUUCCACCUCGACCUCAGCCAUGAUUUCCACAACCUCCAGCUGUUUCCAUGCCUCCUCCUGUUCCUUAUCCACUACAGCCAUUAUUUCCGGUGCAGAAUAUGAGGCCACCACUGCCAUCAACUACUUCUUUUAUAGUUCAAACUCAUUACUCCUCCUGGAUUGCCUACAUCUGCACCUUCUUCUUGAGGAUCAGAAGAAGCAGCGAAGAUGAUGGGCGAUUUCGUCAUUGAAUUCUGGCCAAGCGUCGGAUCACGUCAGGUAGCAGUUUAUGUCCUGACAAAGAUACAUGGAAGAUCAAGGUUCGUUUUCUUCAUCGAUGCAGAGGGAAAGCAUAUAAGACUAUGGGCAAGGCAUCCACAGUUGUGGCAGUGAACUGCUGAAAGAGGAUGAGGUUAUAGCGUCAUGGUCACUUGUGUGGGGAGGAAAAUCCCAAUAUAGUGAGACAGUGGGAAACAACUUUAUAGCAGGCUAUUUUAGAUUUUAUGAGUUUUGCAGUGAUUGGCGAAGUACCUACCAUCUGUCCUGUCGUCACAAUGAGAGCACGAUCAGAAAGAGGUGUUGUUUGGGUAUUAUUUUGGAUGACCAGUGAUGCAGAAUUUCGUCAUCAUGUCAUGUGCUUCUCCAAUCGAUUUUCAAAGUGCUUGAAAUUUCAUCACAGAGGUGUACGAUGUUGUAGUUGGCUGUUCAGUAGCUUAUGUUUCAGUUUGAACUUGAAGUUGAUCGCCAACUUUUUUUUUGGUCCUGUCUAGCGGGCAAUGUUUAGAUGAAGUUGUUUUUGUUGCUCACUUUUAUGAUAUCAUGUUUAUGUUGGAUCUUUGUUAGUUUGCUAACUAGCAUUUGUGGGUGAUAUCUUUUUGAAUUAUUAUGUAUCCAGUGUCAUGUAAUGUUAUUAUCAUCACUGUGACGAAUGAUUGUGUUAUUUAUUUA